AAAUGUUUCCUUAACCACCCUGAAGAUUCGAUGCUGGUUUCUGUGGUGGGGAUGGCACUGUACACCGGCUACGUCUUCAUGCCCCAGCACAUCAUGGCAAUACUGCAUUACUUUGAAAUUGUACAGUGACGGAGAUGUGACCAGGAUCCAGAGGCUCCUGGGGAAGAUCCACCUUGUGAAGUUGGGACGAGACCUCGUCACAUGUGAGAUGCUCUACGGAUGUCAACAUAACCAACCUUAUAAAUACAGAGACUAAACUUCAUGAGUAGAACAGGAGAAAUCAUCCUGACUCAUGUGUUGUGUUCCUUCCUUUUGAUUUUAAAAGAGGCUCUUACAUAGUAGCUUUUAUCUAUUUUAACAUUGUAGUCAUUUGUACUUUGAUAUCAGUAUUUUCUUAACCUUUGUGACUGUUUCAAUAUUACCCAGUGAAAGCUUUUCUUAAUGUAACUUUGAGUACAUCUUAACUGCCUUCUAUUUUUAAAACCUAAGGUCGUUAGUUGGGCUUUACUGUUCUUGCUAUCGUAUGGCAUACACAUCUGCCUGGAUAUAUUUCUACUCGACCAAAGUUUUGUAAGAAACAAUACAGAAUUUGGGGAUGGGAGGGAGGAUAUUUUGAGAAGUACUUACAAAAGAUUUAUCUGUAAGCUUGACCUCAGGGGUACGGUUUUAGCUCCCUAGACUCUUUAACAGCUUUUGCUCUAAAACUAUUAAAGUGUUUCUUAGUGAUGAAAAAGUAAAGAUCUUGCUAACAUUAAUACAAGGAGCAUUUCACCUUUUAGAUAUUAAAUUCUUAUGUGGACUUAUUUCCAACUAACUUUUUCGAUUCCUGUGAGGGCGGGUGACUGGUGGCCUUGUGCGAUGCUGAGAUGUACCAUGGAGCUUUUCAUAGAAGGCAGAUCGGUUUCCUCUGAGGAGAUACUGACAGUGGAUACGCUUAAGAGUUAACUUGAUGAUUGUCACAGGUGCUGUGAAAUGCAUUUGCACAUUGUGAUAAGAUAUCAUGAGAUGAAUUGUUCAGAACCAUAGCCAAAAGAAAUGUAAACUUGCUUAAAAAUCCUUUCACUCUUUGUAUUUUUUUAAAAUGGUUUUUAUUCCUUAGAUGUAAAAUGACUACUUAAUUUUUUUUGAUGUAAACUCAUUAAAUUCAAAGAAAAAAUGUA
rnacentral:lncRNA from 1 species